rnacentral:rRNA from 1 species
GACGAACGCUGGCGGCGUGCUUAACACAUGCAAGUCGAACGGAAAGGCCCUGCUUUUGUGGGGUGCUCGAGUGGCGAACGGGUGAGUAACACGUGAGUAACCUGCCCUUGACUUUGGGAUAACUUCAGGAAACUGGGGCUAAUACCGGAUAGGAGCUCCUGCUGCAUGGUGGGGGUUGGAAAGUUUCGGCGGUUGGGGAUGGACUCGCGGCUUAUCAGCUUGUUGGUGGGGUAGUGGCUUACCAAGGCUUUGACGGGUAGCCGGCCGGAGAGGGUGACCGGCCACAUUGGGACUGAGAUACGGCCCAGACUCCUAAGGGAGGCAGCAGGGGGGAAUAUUGCAAAAUGGGCGGAAGCGUGAUGGAGCAACGCCGCGUGCGGGAUGACGGCUUUCGGGUUGUAAACCGCUUUCGCCUGUGACGAAGCGUGAGUGACGGUAAUGGGUAAAGAAGCACCGGCUAACUACGUG